GGAGGGUGCAAGCGUUAAUCGGAAUUACGUGGGACGUAAAGCGCGCGUAGGUCGGUUUAGUCAGUCGGAUGUGAAACGCCCGAGGGCUCAACCUUGGAAUUGCAUUCGAUACUGCUUGACUAGAGUAUGGUAGAGGGAAGUGGAAUUUCCGGUGUAGCGGUGAAAUGCGUAGAUAUCGGAAGGAACACCAGUGGCGAAGGCGACUUCCUGGGCCAAUACUGACGCUGAGGUGCGAAAAGCGUGGGGAGCAAACAGGGAUUAGAUACCCUGGUAGUCCACGCCGUAAACGAUGAGAACUAGAUGUUGGGAGGGUUACCUCUCGGUGUCGCAGCUAACGCAUUAAGUUCUCCGCCUGGGGAGUACGCCGGCAACGGUAA
rnacentral:rRNA from 1 species